rnacentral:rRNA from 1 species
CCUACGGGUGGCAGCAGUGAGGAAUAUUGGGCAAUGGACGAGAGUCUGAACCAGCCAAGUAGCGUGAAGGAUGACUGCUCUAUGGGUUGUAAACUUCUUUUAUAUGGGAAUAAAAUGUUACAGGUGCGGGAUUAUGUAUGUACCAUAUGAAUAAGGAUCGGCUAACUCCGUGCCAGCAGCCGCGGUAAUACGGAGGAUCCGAGCGUUAUCCGGAUUUAGUGGGUUUAAAGGGAGCGUAGGUGGAUUGUUAAGUCAGUUGUGAAAGUUUGCGGCUCAACCUUAAAAUUGCAGUUGAAACUGGCAGUCUUGAGUACAGUAGAGGCGGGCGGAAUUCGUAGUGUAGCGGUGAAAUGCUUAGAUAUCACGAAGAACUCCGAUUGCGAAGGCAGCUCACUGGACUGCAACUGACACUGAGGCUCGAAAGUGUGGGUAGCAAACAGGAUUAGAUACCCUGGUAGUC